rnacentral:rRNA from 1 species
GACGAACACUGGCGGCGUGCUUAACACAUGCAAGUCGAACGGUAAGGCCCUUCGGGGUACACGAGUGGCGAACGGGUGAGUAACACGUGGGUGAUCUGCCCUGCACUUUGGGAUAAGCCUGGGAAACUGGGUCUAAUACCGGAUAGGACCAUGGCAUGCAUGUGCUGUGGUGGAAAGCUUUUGCGGUGUGGGAUGGGCCCGCGGCCUAUCAGCUUGUUGGUGGGGGGAUGGCCUACCAAGGCGACGACGGGUAGCCGGCCUGAGAGGGUGUCCGGCCACACUGGGACUGAGAUACGGCCCAGACUCCUACGGGAGGCAGCAGUGGGGAAUAUUGCACAAUGGGCGCAAGCCUGAUGCAGCGACGCCGCGUGGGGGAUGACGGCCUUCGGGUUGUAAACCUCUUUCAAUAGGGACGAAGCGCAAGUGACGGUACCUAUAGAAGAAGCACCGGCCAACUACGUGCCAGCCGCCGCUGUAA